UAUUAUAUUUAUAUAUGUAUGUAUGUAUUUUCUUUUCAGACUGCAGUAAUGGCCAAUAUAUUGGAUGCAAUUUCCCAAGUGACUAAAACUGAGCCUCCAGAGAAGAUACUGCGCAAUAAAUUUGGUCUUCAUGAAUAAAAAGCGGAACACCAAGAAUCAAAAAGACCUUCAGGCCUCUUAAUAUAUGGAUGCUUAAUCUUAAUUUUUUAUAUUUGUGUUUUAGUUUUGUUAUAGAAUUAGUUAGAAUAAAUAAUAUUAAUAAAAA